rnacentral:tRNA from 1 species
GGAGAGGUGUCCGAGAGGCCGAAGGAGGCAGACUCGAAAUCUGUUGUACGUCUUCCGGCGUACCGUGGGUUCAAAUCCCACCCUCUCUGCCA